rnacentral:tRNA from 1 species
ACCGAGGUGGUGAAAUUGGUAGACACGCUAUCUUGAGGGGGUAGUGCCUUAAGGCAUAUGGGUUCAAAUCCCAUCCUCGGUA